rnacentral:snRNA from 1 species
UUAUAGAAGUAUUUAGUUAAAAAAAAAUUGGAACGAUACAGAGAAGAUUAGCAUGGUCCCUGCACAAGGAUGUCAUGCAAAUUCAUGAAGCAUUCUGUAGGAGA